rnacentral:rRNA from 1 species
UACGGAGGGAGCUAGCGUUGUUCGGAAUUACUGGGCGUAAAGCGCACGUAGGCGGCUUUGUAAGUUAGAGGUGAAAGCCCGGAGCUCAACUCCGGAAUUGCCUUUAAGACUGCAUCGCUAGAAUUGUGGAGAGGUGAGUGGAAUUCCGAGUGUAGAGGUGAAAUUCGUAGAUAUUCGGAAGAACACAAGUGGCGAAGGCGACUCACUGGACACAUAUUGACGCUGAGGUGCGAAAGCGUGGGGAGCAAACAGG